rnacentral:rRNA from 1 species
UCAGAAUGAACGCUGGCGGCAUGCCUAACACAUGCAAGUCGAACGAAGGCUUCGGCCUUAGUGGCGCACGGGUGCGUAACGCGUGGGAAUCUGCCCCUUGGUUCGGAAUAACAGUUGGAAACGACUGCUAAUACCGGAUGAUGACGUAAGUCCAAAGAUUUAUCGCCGAGGGAUGAGCCCGCGUAGGAUUAGGUAGUUGGUGUGGUAAAGGCGCACCAAGCCGACGAUCCUUAGCUGGUCUGAGAGGAUGAUCAGCCACACUGGGACUGAGACACGGCCCAGACUCCUACGGGAGGCAGCAGUGGGGAAUAUUGGACAAUGGGCGAAAGCCUGAUCCAGCAAUGCCGCGUGAGUGAUGAAGGCCUUAGGGUUGUAAAGCUCUUUUACCCGGGAUGAUAAUGAC